rnacentral:lncRNA from 1 species
CUUCUUAAAGCUCUAGCCAGUGGGAAAGCGUUUGUGUUUCUAUCCUUGGAGCUCCAAGUGGGACUUCUUAAAAGAUUUAGAAGGAGCAAAGCUGUCAGGAAAUCAGAAACGUCACAUGGACUCCAUGACUGGGAAAAACCUCGUGGUGGCCUGCUCUCAGUGCUUGGAUGUGUGCUAGUUACAUCUCGGAGGUCUGAUUUUCUUAACUCUACUACGGUAAGAAGAUGCCCUCCAUCAGCAGGCCGUGUCUGCUGGGACCUCUCUGGAGACUUCCUGAACCCUGUGGAUUUACAGUAAGAUGCAGUUUCCUGGGGAGUAAUUCUGGUGGAUACAAAUUCCGGAGUAUUACACCUGGCUUGCCUGGAGAUGUUACAAGUAGCUGGAUGGAUUCUUCAGCCUGGAUGCCCACUGAAAACAAGGACCGAAACUAAGAGGAUUGUAUCUCUACCCUUGACUCAAUGAGAAUGUUUGUUGUCAUCUCUCGGGCUACCUGGAGCUCCCUCUAAAAUUAUACCCUUUAAGCGUUCCAGAAGGAUUUUGAGAUCCUUUCCUAAAUCAAAGGUGGAAUAUUUGGGGAUUUGGAAAAUUGAGAUGUGAAGCGUUGACUUAAGAGAUGCCAAGUAACUCAGCAGAUGUCACACAGACGAUAAAUAGCAAAGAUGGAAGUCUUCAUGCCGGAGGCAAUCCUAUAAGACAGCUGAGUUCUGCAGAGCUGGUAGGAGACAGACUUGCUCAGGUGAUAGAUCCAGCCAUGAUACUGACCCUAAGAGAAUGAGACGCUCUGCAGAAGACAGAAGAUUCCUGAAACUGGGAAAGGUGCCUAGAAAUCCUGAUAAGAGUGAAGAAGGAGCUGGCAGAGCAGCCUUCCUCCGCACUAUGAAAGACAUCCAACAGAGAGCAAGUUCCCACCUCACUUCCAGCUUGACUCCUUUUUAUCUCCUAACUGUGGUCUGUGAUGUCUUCAGCAAUGGUAUUAACUAGUUCUGGGUACCUGGAGGCACAGCAGCCAUGUUGAACCUAUGAGGUGAUGAAAAACCAUGCAACUAGAAACCAGAAUGGAAGAAAAGAAGAAGCUGGAUCCUUGACUGAAUUGUCGAUGGGGGAUAGUCCAUCAUCCCAGGGCUAAGACCACCUCCAGAUUUCUUGUUUGGUGAAACAAGUCCUGAUUGUUUACAUUCCCUCGUGUUGAGCUGUCUCUUGCUUGUAGCUGAAAGCAUUUCUAAUAGAUAUUCAGAUUAUCAGCCUUAGCUCCAAGCUAGAAUACUCUAUGGGACCUUAGCUUCUCCAUGAAUUCCUUUGCUCAUCUGUGUAAUGCUCAAUAAAUGUAAAUUGAACCCUGAAUGAGGGACAAUGACA